rnacentral:rRNA from 1 species
CCUACGGGAGGCAGCAGUGAGGAAUAUUGGUCAAUGGGCGCGCGCCUGAACCAGCCAAGUAGCGUGAAGGAUGACUGCCCUACGGGUUGUAAACUUCUUUUAUAAAGGAAUAAAGUGAGGCACGUGUGCCUUUUUGUAUGUACUUUAUGAAUAAGGAUUGGCUAACUCCGUGCCAGCAGCCGCGGUAAUACGGAGGAACCGAGCGUUAAUCGGAUUUAUUGGGUUUAAAGGGAGAGUAGAUGGGUUGUUAAGUCAGUUGUGAAAGUUUGCGGCUCAACCGUAAAAUUGCAAUUGAUACUGGCAGCCUUGAGUACAGUUGAGGUAGGCGGAAUUCGUGGUGUAGCGGUGAAAUGCAUAGAUAUCACGAAGAACUCCGAUUGCGAAGGCAGCUUACUAAACUGCCACUGACAUUGAUGCUCGAAAGUGUGGGUAUCAAACAGGAUUAGAUACCCGAGUAGUC